rnacentral:tRNA from 1 species
AUCCUACUAGCGCAAUUGGUAGAGCAUUGUACAAAAGCACAAAAGAUGUGGGUUCGAAUCCCACGUAGGUUC